rnacentral:rRNA from 1 species
AAGACGGGGCAAGUCUUGGCCAAUCUGGAGCUGGUGCCCAACAAGUCUCUCAAGAACCUCAUCUCCAAGUGGUGCCGGGAGAACGGCGUAGCCAUGGAAGUCUGCGAGGCCAGCAAGAGCGAGCAGGCCCAGGCGGUGGCCGCCAACAAGGCGGCGCUCGAGGUGGCGCGCAUGACGGCGUCGUUUCUGGUGAAGAAGCUCUCCGUCUCAUUCUCCCCUGACGCGGCCAACCGCGUGGUGCACGAGAUCCGGCUGCUCUCCAAGUCCGGCUCGGACAACCGCGCGUUCGUCGGAGAGGCCGGAGCCGCGCCGAUGCUGGCCAACAAGAAGCGCAUCAUGCACGCCGAUGGCGCCAUCGAGGCAGUGACCCACAUCAUGAGCUCCGGCACGACGUGGCGCGCCAAGGAGAACGCCGCGACGGCCUUGCUCAGCCUGGCGUCCGUCCAUACGUGCCGCCGAGCCUUCCGUCGUGGAAAAGUUAGUCCACCUCGUGCGCACGGGCCCGACGAGCACAAAGAAGGACGCGCUGGCCGCGCUGCUGUCGCUGGCAGGCGAGAGGGAGAACGUCGGGAAGCUGGUGGAAGCUCGUGCGAGAAGCGAGCAACGGCAGCCUGCGGCGUAAGGGAGCAGCAGGAAAUAGGUGGCGCAAACGAGAUCGGGAGCAGCAAAUCCAUGCAGCCAACUCUCAAGGUCCUCCUCGUCGUGGGGAUCCUCAAUCUAACGCCGUUCUGUACCUCUGCCUGA